rnacentral:pre_miRNA from 1 species
GGCACAUUCGUGAUCUACCCUGUAGAUCCGGGCUUUUGUAGAAUUGUAAAUAUCAGAAGCUCGUCUCUACAGGUAUCUUACGGAUGACA